GGGGGAUAUUGCACAAUGGGGGAAACCCUGAUGCAGCAACGCCGCGUGAGGGAAGAAGGUCUUCGGAUUGUAAACCUAAGUAGUCAGGGACGAAAGAAAUGACGGUACCUGAAGAGUAAGCUCCGGCUAACUACGUGCCAGCAGCCGCGGUAAUACGUAGGGAGCGAGCGUUGUCCGGAUUUACUGGGUGUAAAGGGUGCGUAGGCGGGAUGGCAAGUCAGAUGUGAAAUGCCGGGGCUCAACCCCGGAGCUGCAUUUGAAACUGUCGUUCUUGAGUGAAGUAGAGGCAGGCGGAAUUCCCCGUGUAGCGGUGAAAUGCGUAGAGAUGGGGAGGAACACCAGUGGCGAAGGCGGCCUGCUGGGCUUUAACUGACGCUGAGGCACGAAAGCGUGGGUAGCAAACAGGAUUAGAUACCCUGGUAGUCCACGCUGUAAACGAUGAUUACUAGGUGUGGGGGGUCUGACCCCUUCCGUGCCGGAGUUAACACAAUAAGUAAUCCACCUGGGGAGUACGGCCGCAAGGUUGAAACUCAAAGGAAUUGACGGGGGCCCGCACAAGCAGUGGAGUAUGUGGUUUAAUUCGAAGCAACGCGAAGAACCUUACCAGGUCUUGACAUCCAACUAACGAAGUAGAGAUACAUUAGGUGCCCUUCGGGGAAAGUUGAGACAGGUGGUGCAUGGUUGUCGUCAGCUCGUGUCGUGAGAUGUUGGGUUAAGUCCCGCAACGAGCGCAACCCUUGCUAUUAGUUGCUACGCAAGAGCACUCUAAUAGGACUGCCGUUGACAAAACGGAGGAAGGUGGGGACGACGUCAAAUCAUCAUGCCCCUUAUGACCUGGGCUACACACGUACUACAAUGGAUGUUAACAGAGGGAAGCAAGACAGCGAUGUGGAGCAAACCCCUAAAAACAUUCUCAGUUCAGAUUGCAGGCUGCAACCCGCCUGCAUGAAGAUGGAAUUGCUAGUAAUCGCGGAUCAGCAUGCCGCGGUGAAUACGUUCCCG
rnacentral:rRNA from 2 species